UGCCAAAAUAAAAGUUUUAAUUUAGAGAGAUUAGAGAAGAACGAAAACCCUUUCCCUACAUAUCAAAAGAAAGCCAAAAAUCAGGGUAAGGCACUCUCUCUACCUCCUUCAGCCGCAUCGUCAUAUACAAUCUUCUGCAGUUUUAGUACCCAAUGUGCAAUUCACUUCUACCAACAAGGUGUAUGAAAUCUAUACGGAUGCGAUCUACGCUCCUCGCCGUCCAAAACCUAAUUAGUCAAAGGUGUUUGCAAAAGGAGUGGAUGUUGAUACUGUGGUUCUAAUGGCUGCUAGAGCUUCACGGGUGGAAAACGAAGAUGCAAUUGAUGCUGCCAUUGCGGGGAUGUUGGCUGAUCCGAAAGAGGCGAGAGCUGGAAUUCAAGAGGUUCAUUUUCUUCUGUUCAAUCCAACUGAUAAGUGCACAGCUCUAACAAAUCUUGCCAGUGAAGGCAAAAUGCAUCGAGUCAGUAAAGGUGCCCCUGAACAGAUUUUGAACCUUGCGCACAAUAAAUCUGAUAUACAGCUUCAGUUGUUUCUUUAGUUAGAUGAACAAUGUUAUGAUUGCAGUACACUGAUAACUAAUAGUAGAUGGUUUUGGAGUACAAAGCAAUUAAACAAUGAAUAAGAAAGUUGGCAACCAUAUAGGUUUAUUUUUCAGCUCUUCCUUACCUGCUGCUAUAUUCAGGCUGUCUUUUAGCUUCUUUUACCAUGCACACCAAAUUAGUCUUUAAGUACGAGAGCGCUAAUGUCAUGUUAAACCUGAAAGCGGAUGCGAAAAAGAUGUCAGAAAUCUGCUUGGGGUCAAGAUUGGACUUCUAUACUUUAUUUGGAGUGGGUGGUGGCAGCCAUGUUCUCAUCUUAACAUUUGUAAUAUAGAGAUCUGUUGGAAUCUUUUGGGACAUUAAGUGAUCAACUAGAGAUUGGAAAGGAGACAGGACGCUGUUUAGGAAUGGGAAAUAAUAUGUAUCCUGCUGCUUCUUUACUAGGCCAGGAUAAGGAUGAGUCUAUUGCAACUUUGCCUGUUGAUGAGAUGAUUGAAAAAGCAGAUGGUUUUGCUGGUGUUUUUCAUGUUGUAGGAACUAGCUAGUAAGAAGAGCAAGUACCCAUCAUCCAGAGCUACGACCAAUAGAGCAUCCUCUCGUAAAGGUAAUUAGCUUAUUCUGGAUACUAUAUUGUUCCUUAAAUUGAUUAAAGUAUUACCCUAAAUAUUAAGAGAAAAAAAGUAUUAUUGUCCCUUGCUACAAAUAAGUAAGAAGUAAUCUUUCGUCCUCCCUUAGGAAGCACCGGAUCAAACAAGGAUCUUGGGAUAUUUAGACACAUAAGAGCACUUAGCAGUGUUUUUGAGAAACUUACUUUGAUUCAAAGUCUUGGCUCUUAUUGUUAUACUUUAAAGCAGAUGACAACUAUAAUGUACAAUCCACUCUACUGGUUCAUUAAGUUCUUAGAAAUGCAUAUCUUCCAUUGACAAACAGGUGAAAGAUUUACAAUGGGAACAUGUAGAUGUAAAGUUCAUUAUAUAACCAAUGGUAGAAAAUAUGUGAUUUCUCUAAGAAAAACUUCAUAUGACGAAUAAACUUUAAUUGUUUUAUGUAGAGAUACUUCAUUCCACCAUUUUAUUAUUAUUAUUAUGAAGGGUUUUAUGUUGCAUAGAGUUUGAUUUGACAUCAGUCGUGCCAAUAAUAAGCUUUAUGCAACCAUUGGACCUUUGCAAUGAAGAUAUGCUACAUCUGUGAGGCAAAAGCAUUUUAGGUAUUCUGGUGUAACGAAUUUUUCAUGACACUGUCCUAAAUAUAGCGGGAAUAACAUCGUGGAUUUAAUCAGAUUAGCCAAAAUGUAACUGUUGCUAAUUAAGACAAGGUGUGUCUUGGAUGCUUGCAUGCUCAAUCAUUUAGUGAUAUUUUGUUCUUAAUGAAUUGUUUCUAUGCACAGUAGGUGGUGCAAUGAGAAGGGGGACACUAUCUGUGAAAUUUGCCGCCACGUUUGUAGGUCCAAUUUUUUUGUCCUGUGUUCAUUCUUUAAGACCUAAAUGUUGAUGUUUGGUAAUUAUGCAACCUUGUAAAAUUGUGUGCAACACAACAUUGCUUGAAUACUCUUUGUUUGGCACAAGAUGAAGAAUGCUCCUAUUGGCACGAGGUAUAUGUGUUUAUUCUUACUUAUCCAUAUCUUGCUAUUUCAUGUCUGCUUGGUUAAAUUUUUACAUUGUAGUUGUAGAAUUUAUCUCUAUAGGGUUACUAGUAUUAAAAGAAAUCUGAUGUAUUUUUGACUGAAUAACUAGAUCUUGUUUCAUGAGUCAUGCAAGUGUAAGGAGAAUAUGCUCUAGUAUUGCUAGUGACGGCGGACACUAAUUGCUUUAAAAGUGUUCCCAAAUGUGUUCUUCCAAAGCAAUAAAUGACUUUGAAAUAGUCAUUAGCUAGUUGGCAUAACCUUAGGCGUAUAUUAUUUGGUUUUUCUUGUUUGGUAGGGUGAACUGAAGCCCAUGGAUGUAGAGCAACAGAGAGAGUAUGGUCACAAGAUGGUGAAUUUCAUUCUUGAUUGUUACAAGAACAAUGAGAACUCACUGUUCUCAAUCAAGUUCAGGUUUUCAUAAUAACCUAUCAAUUUCUUUUUGUAUCCUUACCCAAGAAUUAGUUAUUUCCCCAUAGAAAGUUUAGCCAUUGCAUGACAGUGUUAUUUUGGCAGAGUUUGCGGAGACUUAGCUAGAAAAAAGUACUCCAUUAUAUUUCGAAUGAAAUUAGUAAAGCUCAAUCUUUUGAUGAAUACAUUUUUAAUA